AUUGAACGCUGGCGGCAGGCCUAACACAUGCAAGUCGAGCGAGCGGCGGACGGGUGAGUAAUGUCCGGGAAACUGCCUGAUGUAGGGGGAUAACUACUGGAAACGGUAGCUAAUACCGCAUCCCAUUAGCUGUGCCCAGAUGGGAUUAGCUAGUAGGUGGGGUAACGGCUCACCUAGGCGACGAUCCCUAGCUGGUCUGAGAGGAUGACCAGCCACACUGGAACUGAACCACGGUCCAGACGCGUACGGUAGGCAGCAGAGGGGAGUAUUGCACAAGGGGCGCGAGCCUGAUGCGGCCAUGCCGCGUGGGGGGAGAGGGCCUUCGGGUAGUAAAGCAAUUUCAGCGGGGAGGCGUUACCCGAAGAAGAAGCACCGGCUAACUCCGUGCCAGCAGCCGCGGUAAUUC
rnacentral:rRNA from 1 species